CGGGCAGGGUUUGGUACGAGGGACUUGCGACUGUGUUUUCUGAAUUCAGCACUUAUUGGCGCCUUCCUGGCAAGACUAUUGCUCUUCAGAUUGGUAUGCUUGGUUUAACGGAAGAAUUUGCUUCCAGGCCAAUGAAAUCGAGGCUGAUUCGGACAGAUUGAAGUUUCGACGCGUAGGAUCGAGCAGAAUUUCUAGAACAUUUGCUUUUUCAGUUAAACAGCCCACCAUGGUUCUGAGGUUGGGCCAGAAAUCAUCAUUAGACCUGUUAUGUGAGGUAGCACUGGCACCUGACGAUGCGGUUGUCUCGGAACUGGUCGCCCGUGAUGCCCGCAAUUCGAGUGAAAAGAUUUCGAAGAAGGCUGCAGGUGGUGUGCUGGACCUGGAUGAGAUACUGAAACUCAGCAGCAAGCAGCUGGUCAAACAUUUCACUCGGUUUGAGUCAAACGAGCUGCGCCGCGUUUUUAAGUACACCUGCUGCCUGGCUCCGUCGAUUUGCCGAUAUGAAAGCACCAGCUUUGGCAAUGAAUCGAAGUCAUUGCGAGCAAUUAAGCAACAUUUGCAAAGCCAUCUGAAGCAGCUCAGUUCAGAAGCAACUGGCCGCAUCAAGUUCACAGCGGAGACGAUUGUGCCGCUGCCUCGGCGGACCACAGAUAUCCGCAUCGGAAAAAAAUACUACGCGAGAGCUAACGGAAAGUCGCCUUCUGCGGCCGGUGGCGCGAGCGGAGCCCAAAAGCAGCCGGUGGAG
rnacentral:lncRNA from 1 species